rnacentral:rRNA from 1 species
UACGUAGGGUGCGAGCGUUAAUCGGAAUUACUGGGCGUAAAGCGUGCGCAGGCGGUUUUGUAAGCCAGGCGUGAAAUCCCCGGGCUCAACCUGGGAAUGGCGUUUGGGACUGCAAGGCUGGAGUACGGCAGAGGGGACUAGAAUUCCUGGUGUAGCAGUGAAAUGCGUAGAUAUCAGGAGGAAUACCGAUGGCGAAGGCAGGUCCCUGGGCUGAUACUGACGCUCAUGCACGAAAGCGUGGGGAGCAAACAGG